rnacentral:rRNA from 1 species
GAUGAACGCUAGCGGUAGGCUUAACACAUGCAAGUCGAGGGGCAGCAUGGUCUUAGCUUGCUAAGACUGAUGGCGACCGGCGCACGGGUGCGUAACGCGUAUGCAACUUGCCUCACAGAGGGGGAUAACCCGUCGAAAGACGGACUAAUACCGCGUACACUUGGGAUAGGGCAUCCUGACCCAAGGAAAUGAAAUUCGCUGUGAGAUAGGCAUGCGUCCCAUUAGCUAGUUGGUGAGGUAACGGCUCACCAAGGCGACGAUGGGUAGGGGAACUGAGAGGUUGAACCCCCACACUGGUACUGAGACACGGACCAGACUCCUACGGGAGGCAGCAGUGAGGAAUAUUGGUCAAUGGGCGAGAGCCUGAACCAGCCAAGUCGCGUGAAGGAUGACUGUCUUAUGGAUUGUAAACUUCUUUUAUACGGGAAUAACAAGAGUCACGUGUGGCUCCCUGCAUGUACCGUAUGAAUAAGCAUCGGCUAACUCCGUG